CUAGACAUCCGCGUUGCCUCCCAUACUUCUCAAAUUGUCCGCCUAUGGGUCUAGUUUUUCAGACAUAUACCAUCAUGCUCAUGGGACUUUUAUACUGAACUCCAUGUUGAAGUGAGCUUGUUCGAAGGCAUCAACGAUUUGCCGGCGAGAAGCGCACGCAGUUGCAUCUUCAUGAAACUAGGGUGGGGAUAAUGAAUUAAACCAGCACGUACAUUGAUACAUUCAGUUUGCGGUCUGGUCUGUCAUAUUUAGGAGUUAACUGUAAGACUAUAUUGUGCUUUUCCAUAAUAUUAUCUGUUUGUUAAGUAACAUUUCGCGAAGAUGUCUGUGGUAGGAUUCGACGUCGGGUUUCUGAACUGCUAUGUUGCGGUAGCUAGAGCCGGAGGAAUAGAAACUGUAGCCAAUGAAUACAGCGAUCGAUGUACACCAGCAUGCGUGUCAUUUGGACCACGGAAUCGAUCUAUUGGUGCAGCAGCAAAAAGCCAGGUCGUCACAAACUGCAAGAACACAGUCCAAGGGUUCAAGAGAUUUCAUGGCCGGGCGUUUUCUGACCCGUACAUCCAGAGUUUGAAAUCCAGCCUGGUUUACGACCUGGCACAGAUGCCUUCGGGCACCACUGGCAUCAAGGUGAUGUACAUGGAGGAGGAGAAGGUGUUCAGCAUUGAGCAGGUCACUGCCAUGCUUCUGACCAAGAUGAAGGAGACAGCUGAGCAUGCACUGAAGAAACCCGUGGCUGACUGCGUUGUCUCUGUCCCCUGCUACUACACGGACGCCGAGAGGAGAUCAGUGGUGGACGCAGCACAGAUCGCUGGACUCAACUGUCUGAGGCUCAUGAAUGAGACAACUGCAGUGGCAUUGGCGUAUGGGAUCUACAAGCAGGACCUCCCUGCUCCAGAGGAAAAGCCCAGGAUUGUGGUGUUUGUAGACAUUGGACACUCUGGAUACCAGACCUCUGUCUGUGCCUUCAACAAAGGCAAGCUGAAGAUCCUUGCGACGGCCUGCGACCCGGAGCUAGGCGGGAAGGACUUUGACGAGAUGCUGGUGAGACACUUCUGUGAGGAGUUUGGGAAGAAGUACAAGCUGGACGUGAAGACCAAGCCCAGGGCUCUGGUCAGGCUCUACCAGGAGUGUGAGAAACUCAAGAAGCUGAUGAGCGCUAACUCCUCAGACCUGCCCCUCAACAUCGAGUGCUUUAUGAACGACAUUGAUGUGUCUGGAAAACUCAACAGGGGUCAAUUUGAGGAGAUGUGUGCUGACGUUCUGGCCAGAGUGGAGGCACCACUGCACAACCUGAUGGAGCAAGCCAAGCUUAAGAAGGAGGACAUCUAUGCGGUGGAAAUAGUGGGCGGGGCCUCCCGUAUCCCGUCUGUCAAAGAGAGGAUCAGCAAGUUCUUUGGGAAGGAGCUGAGCACCACCCUGAAUGCUGAUGAGGCCGUGGCCAGAGGAUGUGCCCUGCAGUGUGCAAUCCUGUCCCCUGCAUUCAAAGUGCGGGAGUUCUCCAUCACAGACGCAGUUGCUUACCCAAUCUCUCUGAAAUGGAACUCUGCUGCAGAGGAAGGCUUGAGCGAUUGCGAGGUAUUCCCAAAGAACCAUGCUGCGCCCUUCUCCAAAGUGUUGACUUUCUACCGGAGGGAGCCUUUCUCUCUGGAAGCCUACUACAACACCCCCAAAGAGCUGCCGUAUCCCGACCCCACCAUAGGUCAGUUUGUGAUCCAGAAGGUGGUGCCCCAGGCGUCUGGGGAGAGCUCCAAGGUCAAGGUGAAGGUGAGGGUCAACAUCCACGGCAUCUUCAGCGUCUCCUCAGCCUCACUGGUGGAGGUCCAGAAGACCGAGGAAGGAGAGGAGCCCAUGGACACAGAACAGCAGGCAACACCAGAGAAAGAGGAAGAGAAAGAGGGCAACAUGCAGACUGACCAGGAUGAGACAAAGGCCCAAGGAGAUGGACAGAAAGAGACAGAAGAGGAGAAGACGCCGCCGGAGAAUGAGGAAAUGGAGACCUCCCCAGAGGAGAGUAAGACAGAGAAGAAGUCUGACCAGCCUCCACAGGCCAAGAAGCCCAAAGUCAAGACAAAAGUCUUGGAGCUUCCCAUCGAGAACAGCCCUCAGUGGGAGCUGGCCGUCGACAUGCUCAACCUCUUUGUAGAAAAUGAGGGUAAAAUGAUCAUGCAGGACAAGCUGGAGAAGGAGAGGAACGACGCUAAAAACUACGUGGAGGAGUAUGUGUACGACAUGAGGGACAAACUUCAUGGCAGGCUGGAGAAAUUCGUCAGUGAAGCUGACCGGGAUAUCCUGUCAUUACAACUGGAGGACACCGAGAACUGGCUGUAUGAAGACGGAGAGGACCAACCUAAACAACAGUACAUCGACAAACUGGCCGUGCUGAAGAAACUGGGCCAGCCUAUCCAGGAGAGGUACAUGGAGUCUGAGGAAAGACCCAGAGCCUUCGAUGACAUGGGGAAACAGAUCCAGAUGUACAUGAAGAUUGUUGAAGCUUAUAAAACCAAGGUACCCCUGCCCUUAUACAGCCAAGGUACCCCUGCCCUUAUACAGCCAAGGUACCCCUGCCCUUAUACAGCCAAGGUUCCCCUGCCCUUAUACAGCCAAGGUUCCCCUGCCCUUAUACAGCCAGGGUUCCCCUGCCCUUAUACAGCCAGGGUUCCCCUGCCCUUAUACAGCCAGGGUUCCCCUGCCCUUAUACAGCCAGGGUUCCCCUGCCCCUUAUACAGCCAGGGUUCCGUUGCCCCUUAUACAGCCAGGGUUCCGUUGCCCCUUAUACAGCCAGGGUUCCGUUGCCCCUUAUACAGCCAGGGUUCCGUUGCCCCUUAUACAGCCAGGGUUCCGUUGCCCCUUAUACAGCCAGGGUUCCCCUGCCCCUUAUACAGCCAGGGUUCCCCUGCCCCAGAGAUCUAGAAGUAACCUGAUACAUUUUGAUCAUAAUGCUCCAUAGAACAACAACAAUCAUUCUAAGCCUUUGCAAAUAUCAGAAGUUGAGAAUGGUUGCAUUUCAGCAAUGACCAAAUGUGUAUUGUAUUAUGCUACUUAAUGGAUAUUAACUUUAUUAUUACUGGACUGCUACAAUGGACGACAUCUUUAUUCUUUGCGUACCCCAGGAGGAGCAGGUACGACUGAGAAAUCGUGGAAAUACUACUAGUAGUAGAAAUGUAGUAUAGUGCAGUCCUUAAUGCUAGAAUGCACCAUUGUCAAACGUCAGAUGGCGUCACUCCGACGCGACCCUCGACCCUCAGUGCGGAAUCGACGCACUAUCUGACGUAAGACAAUGAGAAUACACAAGACUAGUUCUGUUAAAAUGCAGUCCAGUUCACCAAUCGUAUCCUAUUGUUACUUCCUACAGAUACCUUCAUAUUCCAGUGUAGCAAGUAAAAAAAUAUAUAUAUUCACAGCAAUUCCAAAACCAUUUGCAAAUAUAUGUACAUAUACAUGUUGUUACACUUUGUUAUAAAAGACUACAUCUUGGGGUUUGAGGGGGCCGAUAUCAGAAGUUGUGUUUCAGGAAUGACCAAAUGUGUUAUGUAUGUCAGACGGUUCCUUGACUUGUCUUUCCAUCCCCCAGGAAGAGCAGUAUGAUCAUCUGGACCAGGAAGAGAUCAACAAGGUGGAUAAGAUGGUGAAUGAUGCCAUGAUCUGGAUGAACAGCAAGAUGAACCAGCAGAGUAAACUGAGCUUGACUGUGGAGCCUGCUGUUAAAGUCAGAGAGAUACAGGACAAGACUAAGGAGCUGUACUCCACCUGCAACCCCAUCGUGACCAAGCCCAAGCCCAAGGUGGAGCUGCCUAAGGAAGACAAGGCAGGGGAGCAGAAUGGACCAGUCAACGGCCAGGAGAAAGCCCCAGCAGAGGGCACCGAGAAGGGGGCCGCCGACAGCACAGGCAACCCUCCCUCCACGGAAUCCACCAACCCUAGACCUGACAUGGACCUUGACUAAGCAGACGGACAAGCAGCAACCAGUGUCUCCUCUACCAGGGGCUGUGUCUUCAUUUGAGAGUAGUCUCCUUCCCAUGUUUCCUUGUCGCCUUCCCCUUUCAGAUCUGAUAGGACUAGAUAGAUGAGUUCAACAAAAGCAAAACAAAACUCUACCUGCAUGGUCUACCAAAAGGCAUGCUGGAUAUAUUAACUACAGUACUGUAGCACAUUGCUCACGUCUUAUCUAGCUUGUCAGAUCUGUUGCGGUCAGGAAGGAAUUAACCAAGGCAGCGAGGGAAGGAGGCAAAGGCAGGAAUGAGACGCUGCACAGAUGUACCAGAGCUGCUAGUGAAGUGUAAACUCCUUGCUUGUCUCAAAUGGCAUCCUAUUCACUCUAUAGUGCACAACUUUUGGCCAGAGACCCUAUAUGGCCCUGAUUUAAAAAAUAGUGUACUAUAUAGGGAAUUGGUGCCAUGAUGUUGCCAUUCACAUCCACUUGUCAAUGCAGGCAGCAUUCUGUAAUUUCGGCACAUUGACCCCAGUACCUGAUGAUGGUGUAUUUCUGCAGCCAAUAGCAUGUCCAUUCUUUUUUGUUUUGCUGAAAUAAAAUUGAAAGAACCAACUGCAAUAAGCCUGUUUGACGAUGAGCGCUGUAUCAUGGUAUUUAUUUCUGUUUUGUGCUCUCUAUAACUGUUCCGGGUCAUUGUCACAAUUUAAGUUUUAAUAAAGUUAUUGAAAACCGCU